rnacentral:lncRNA from 1 species
ACACAAUAGAUCUUCUACGAGAUAACUAAAUUAAAUUAAAAACUGUUAUGGAAGCGUCGUAUUGCAGAGCAAACGGGAGAGGUGCACAAUUUGUUGACUUUAAUAUCAUUAUGGGUUCCGCUGUCACUAUACAUGCACAGUAACUUUACUUUUCAUUUCUAUAUAAACGAUCGUUUCGAUUGUUUGUAAGACACACCAUCAUUCUCCUUCUAAUAACACAUCCUCU